rnacentral:rRNA from 1 species
AACCCCUGUGAACAUACCAAUUGUUGCCUCGGCGGAUCAGCCCGCUCCCGGUAAAACGGAACGGCCCGCCAGAGGACCCCUAAACUCUGUUUCUAUAUGUAACUUCUGAGUAAAACCAUAAAUAAAUCAAAACUUUCAACAACGGAUCUCUUGGUUCUGGCAUCGAUGAAGAACGCAGCAAAAUGCGAUAAGUAAUGUGAAUUGCAGAAUUCAGUGAAUCAUCGAAUCUUUGAACGCACAUUGCGCCCGCCAGUAUUCUGGCGGGCAUGCCUGUUCGAGCGUCAUUUCAACCCUCAAGCCCCCGGGUUUGGUGUUGGGGAUCGGCGAGCCUCACGGCAAGCCGGCCCCGAAAUACAGUGGCGGUCUCGCUGCAGCUUCCAUUGCGUAGUAGUAAAACCCUCGCAACUGGUACGCGGCGCGGCCAAGCCGUUAAACCCCCAACUUCUGAAUGUUGACCUCGGAUCAGGUAGGAAUACCCGCUGAACUUAAGCAUAUCAAUAAGCGGAGGA